rnacentral:pre_miRNA from 2 species
UCUUAUGAAGAAGUAAAGAAAGUAGUUUCUUGAGAUGGAAUCUGCUCCUGGUGAAGAUGCUGUAAA